AUCCAGUUUGGGUGCUCUGGGUACCCUGGGUUCAUAUGAGAGACCUCCGUUUACCUGCCAUUGACCCUGGCUUGCAUUCUCUUCCUAUCCUCUUCUAUUUCCUAUUGGUAGAUAGAUG
rfam:Neotoma lepida isolate 417 scaffold_9249, whole genome shotgun sequence.